ACCAUAUUUGUAUGCUGCUUACAAAUCUAUAGUCCUUCACUAAGCAUUACAAGUAGUUUCCUUUGGCGUUGACGACAUCUCGAGUCUAAACAGGGAAGGUCAUCACGUAGCUGAGUCGAGCGAUGCAUAUCUUAGGAUCGCAGACUAAUCGCAGUUUAUUUAAUGUAAAUCUAAUAGGGAUGUAUAGAGGAGACCGCGGAUGGUUGUUAACACUUGCAAUUACUCCAACUGGGAGCGAGGUAGAAUCAUAUGAUUCACUGUUCACAUGCUCAGUUUAGUAAGGAAGCCUCAUGUGAAAAACAUUCCUGGAUAAUGGAAAAGAAAGACAGACCUCUCCACACUUUGGUCAAAGCGUCAAAAGCAGAGCGGGGGGAAGGAAGCCAAUCAGUUGAUCUACACCCCUUCUCAAAAGCAGGGCCCAAGAAAAUUGCAACAAGGGGUAGGAAAAGGAGAAAAACUGUGAUUUUUGACGGAUACACCCGUCAAGCAGGCACUGGAAGAAGAGCAUAAAAGGUCAAGUGCUCAGAAGGCGCUUGCCUAAAAAAACUGCUGGAAUGAAGCAAGCCAAGACAAACCACACUGAAACACAAAAACUGUCCUGCCUAAGAAACAAGUCAAAACAAAGCAGAUUGAACCAGAAGAUUCAGAUUCUUUCAAUGUAGAACACGUCUGCAUUGUGUGCACUGAGUCCAAGGUCUGGGUGUUGCUGGGAAAUCAAAUUACAAGCCCACCUAGCCUGUACCCCAGGACAGCCAUACAUACCACUGUCACAACUGUGACUCUUGAUUUAGUUAACAUGUCCAACAUUGUCACACACAGCCACGCACGCAAACACACACGUUCAGGUGUUUAGUUUCGUCUUUGUUUGGUUGAGAACCAUUUAGGAGAGUGAAAUAAUACAUGUAUUAUUUCUGCCAAACAAAAGGUAAACUUGGCAACGUUGCUCUCCUGGCCUCAAAAGCAUUCAAUAAUUAGUUGCAUGUCAUAUGCACUUUUUAAUUCUGUUACAAU